AAACUCAAAUGAAUUGACGGGACCCGCACAAGCAGCGGAGCGUGUGGUUUAAUUCGUUGCUACACGAAGAACCUUACCUGGGUUUGACAUAUAAGUUGUAGGGAACUGAAAAGGACCGACCUUCGGGGAGCUUAUACAGGUGUUGCAUGGCUGUCGUCAGCUCGUGUCGUGAGAUGUUCGGUUAAGUCCGCUAACGAGCGCAACCCUCGCCGUAUGUUACAAGUGUCAUACGGGACUGCCGGUAAAAGCCGGAGGAAGGUGAGGAUGAUGUCAAGUCAGCAUGACCUUUAUAUCCAGGGCUACACACACGCUACAAUGGUCUGUACAAUUGGUUGCCAAGCCGCGAGGCGGAGCCAAUCCGUAAAGCAGGCCUCAGUUCAGAUUGCAGUCUGCAACUCGACUGCAUGAAGCCGGAGUUGCUAGUAACCGCAGGUCAGCAAUGCUGCGGUGAAUACGUUCCCGGGUCUU
rnacentral:rRNA from 1 species